rnacentral:rRNA from 1 species
AGCGAACGCUGGCGGCAGGCCUAACACAUGCAAGUCGAACGAACUCUUCGGAGUUAGUGGCGGACGGGUGAGUAACACGUGGGAACGUGCCUUUUGGUUCGGAAUAACUCAGGGAAACUUGUGCUAAUACCGAAUGUGCCCUUCGGGGGAAAGAUUUAUCGCCAUUAGAGCGGCCCGCGUCUGAUUAGCUAGUUGGUGAGGUAACUGCUCACCAAGGCGACGAUCAGUAGCUGGUCUGAGAGGAUGACCAGCCACACUGGGACUGAGACACGGCCCAGACUCCUACGGGAGGCAGCAGUGGGGAAUCUUGCGCAAUGGGCGAAAGCCUGACGCAGCCAUGCCGCGUGAAUGAUGAAGGUCUUAGGAUUGUAAAAUUCUUUCACCGGGGACGAUAAUGACGGUACCCGGAGAAGAAGCCCAGGCUAACUUCGU